rnacentral:rRNA from 1 species
UACGUAGGGCGCAAGCGUUGUCCGGAAUUAUUGGGCGUAAAGCGCACGUAGGCGGCUUUGCAAGUCCCAUGUGAAAUCCCACGGCUCAACCGUGGAAGUGCAUGGGAAACUGCAGAGCUUGAGUACUUAAGAGGAUCGCGGAAUUCCCGGUGUAGAGGUGAAAUUCGUAGAUAUCGGGAGGAACACCAGUGGCGAAGGCGGCGAUCUGGGAAGAUACUGACGCUGAGGUGCGAAAGCGUGGGGAGCAAACAGG